UACUUUCAAAGGACAGCAGAUGCCCACUAGCCUUAGGAGCUAGCCCAMSCU
rnacentral:tRNA from 1 species